rnacentral:miRNA from 1 species
UCCAGUAUUUCGUGCUGCUGCUG